GACGAACGUUGGCGGCGUGCCUAAUACAUGCAAGUCAACUGAAGCAGUGGUAGCAAUCUCGCUGUGGAGGUGGCGCACGGGUGAGUAACACGUAGGUAAUCUGCCUUCAGGUCUGGCAUAACUCCGGGAAACCGGGGCUAAUAGCAGAUGAUGCAGCGGCUCGACAUCGAGACAGUUGUUAAAGCUAUGGCGCCUGAAGAUGAGCCUGCGUCUGAUUAGCUAGUUGGCGGGGUAACGGCCCACCAAGGCAACGAUCAGUAGCUGGUCUGAGAGGAUGAUCAGCCACACUGGAACUGAGACACGGUCCAGACUCCUACGGGAGGCAGCAGUAAGGAAUAUUGCUCAAUGGGAGAAAUCCUGAAGCAGCAACGCCGCGUGAGGGACGAAGGGCUUUUGCUUGUAAACCUCUGUAGGGAGAGAAAAAAAUCCCAAUCUUUGGGACAUGAUGGUACCUCAAAAGUAAGCCCCGGCUAACUACGUG
rnacentral:rRNA from 1 species